UACGUAGGGCGCAAGCGUUGUCCGGAAUUAUUGGGCGUAAAGAGCUCGUAGGCGGCCUGUCGCGUCUGCUGUGAAAUCCCGGGGCUUAACCCCGGGCGUGCAGUGGAUACGGGCUGGCUGGAGGCAGGCAGGGGAGAAUGGAAUUCCCGGUGUAGCGGUGAAAUGCGCAGAUAUCAGGAGGAACACCGGCGGCGAAGGCGGGUCUCUGGGCCAUAACUGACGCUGAGGAGCGAAAGCGUGGGGAGCGAACAGG
rnacentral:rRNA from 1 species